UACGUAGGUGGCGAGCGUUGUCCGGAUUUACUGGGCGUAAAGGGAGCGUAGGCGGACUUUUAAGUGAGGUGUGAAAUACUCGGGCUCAACUUGAGUGCUGCAUUUCAAACUGGAAGUCUAGAGUGCAGGAGAGGAGAAUGGAAUUCCUAGUGUAGCGGUGAAAUGGGUAGAGAUUAGGAAGAACACCAGUGGCGAAGGCGAUUCUCUGGACUGUAACUGACGCUGAGGCUCGAAAGCGUGGGGAGCAAACAGG
rnacentral:rRNA from 1 species